rnacentral:rRNA from 1 species
UACGUAGGGUGCAAGCGUUAAUCGGAAUUACUGGGCGUAAAGCGUGCGCAGGCGGUUAUGUAAGACAGUUGUGAAAUCCCCGGGCUCAACCUGGGAACUGCAUCUGUGACUGCAUUGCUGGAGUGCGGCAGAGGGGGAUGGAAUUCCGCGUGUAGCAGUGAAAUGCGUAGAUAUGCGGAGGAACACCGAUGGCGAAGGCAAUCCCCUGGGCCUGCACUGACGCUCAUGCACGAAAGCGUGGGAGCAAACAGG